rnacentral:rRNA from 1 species
UUGGGGUUUAAAGUAGUACGUAGGUGGUUUUGUUUAAGCCAGCUGUGAAAUCCCCCGGGGCCGUCAACCUGGGGCACUGCAGUUGGAACUGGCAAGCUAGAGUAGGGUAGAGGGGUGUGGAAUUCCAGGUGUAGCGGUGAAAAUGCGUAGAUAUCUGGAGGAACAUCAGUGGCGAAGGCGACACCCCUGGACUCAUACUGACACUGAGGUACGAAAAGCGUGGGGAGCAAAACAGGAUUAGAUACCCCGAGUA